UACGAAGGGGGGCUAGCGUUGUUCGGAAUCACUGGGCGUAAAGGGCGCGUAGGCGGCUUUAUAAGUCGGGGGUGAAAGCCUGCGGCUCAACCACAGAAUUGCCUUCGAUACUGUAGAGCUUGAGACCGGGAAGAGGUAAGUGGAACUGCGAGUGUAGAGGUGAAAUUCGUAGAUAUUCGCAAGAACACCAGUGGCGAAGGCGGCUUACUGGUCCGGUUCUGACGCUGAGGCGCGAAAGCGUGGGGAGCAAACAGG
rnacentral:rRNA from 1 species